CCUACGGGUGGCAGCAGCCAGGAAUCUUGCGCAAUGGGCGAAACCCUGACGCAGCAACGCCGCGUGGGCGAUGAAGGCCUUCGGGUCGUAAAGCCCUGUUGUCGGGGACGAAAGUCGAAGGGUUAAUAGUACCUAGCCUGACUGUCCCCGACUCAGACGCCCCUGCGAAAUAAGUGCCAGCAGCCGCGGGAAUACGUAGGGGGCGAGCGUUUUCCGGAAUCAUUGGGCGUAAAGAGCGCGUAGUCGGCACGGUAAGUCCGCGGUGAACCCCCGGGGCCCAACCCCUGGACGGCAGGGGAAACUGCGGGGGUAGAGGGCGGCAGGGGCGAGUGGAAUUCCCGGUGUAGCGGUGAAAUGCGCAGAUAUCGGGAGGAACACCGGUGGCGAAGGCGGGUGGCUGGGCCGUAACUGACGCUGAGGCGCGAAAGCCAGGGGAGCGAACAGGAUUAGAUACCCUAGUAGUC
rnacentral:rRNA from 1 species